rnacentral:misc_RNA from 1 species
CUUGUACACAUAUAUAUGUUUUGUGGGGCAUAGAGUUUACACGACAGCGAGCUACUUGCUCCACGUUGGAGGGGGAGGAGGGCUCGUCCAUUGGUUGGUUGUUGCGCGCAAAUCAUCCCUCGACCUGUUUCCGUUCUUUUUUGUUGUCCAUGGUCUCCCUUCUUGUCCUGCUGGUUCCUUUGAGAGUCCUCCUCCUCUGACGCGCUUCCUGGUGGCCCAUUCACCUGCAGUCUUGCCUCCCCGAGUUGCGUGUCUCUCUCUGCCCCUUUCCAACGCUUUCUUUUUAUUCUCACACGGCGUGCUCAGUCGCGCAUGCGUCGAUUUUCCGGCUCGCUCGGGCCCGCAUGACACGUUGAAGAAAAGGAGAGGGGGCGCAACGAAACGAAGAGAACGCUGCGUUCUUCUGUGCACGUCAUGUAUCGUGAGAAGUGCUGCUCCUAUCCGUUUUCUUUUUGUUUUUGUGCACACGCUAGUCGCCCGUGUGUGGUCGCCCUCGAACAGCGAGAGAGGAAUGGAUCACGGCGGAAUGCGUCAACUCCUUGGCCUGCCGUAACGAAGCUGGAGACGUAAGGCUGAUGGGAAUGGCACGCAAAUGCUUUUCUUCUCGCUGCGUGUCUGUCCUUGUGGUAUGCAUUGAAUGCAAGCUCUCGUGCCUCUGCAUGCGGCGUUGCCGCUGGUAUGACGGAUGUUAGGAAAGGUGUGACGAAUCGAGGGGGAGGUUGCAACGCUGUACCGCCGCAGGCGUGCGUUGGGGAGAAGACUAUGGAGAAUAAGCGCACACACUUGGCUCAUCUCCCUCUUCCACCACCCCAUCCCGCUCCGCCUGCACGCAGGCACAGAGAAAGAUGAUGGCCAGUGUGAGGUAUGCCUUUCUUCUCUUCGUCUCUUUCCCUCUUUUCUGUGCUGGGGCAUACGAUAACGUCUGCGUGAGUGUGUGUGUGGGGGGGGGCGUGCUCGUGCAGGUGGCAGCACAACACAAGAGCGACGGCAAUCACUUAACCUUUAGUGAUGUUGUCGGUCCACUUCUCACUCCCGCGAUGCCGUAGGCCCCGCCCAUUUUCGGCCAUUUAAAUCUGGGCAUGCGCGCACGCACGAUCUUGCCCUCUCUCGGCGGUGUGGGGGCGCCCAAACGGGUGAGACGUUUGACGAUGCAGAACGCGCACAUGCAUUAGUGCGUGCAUCUGCGCAGAUGUGUGCGCGCAUGUAUCUCGAGAUGCGUCGUUUCUUUUUCUCACACACACGUGUUGACUUCCGCUCUCUGAUUGUCUCAUGGUACUUCCAGGCACGAUAUGACGACUAAGAAAGAAGGGCGCCGUAACCCCAUCGUACGCUAUUUUCGCCCUUCUUCUUUCCCUGUUAGGCGCUCACGGUGUUGUUGUUGUUCCCAGCCUUUGCCUGCAUGUUUACGUUCGUGCCGAGGUCCGUCUCCAGGACGGCCUCAUACCGUUACUAGUAUUGUUAGUACGACAGCGUUCUUCAAGCUCCCUUCCCCACUCUUGUUCUUGAUCGCACCGUUUUUUUUUUCGCGCUUGUUUGGCCGCCGCCUCAUCCGUCGUCGGGCCCCGUACGUUUGCCGUUGGAUCACCCAUGCGAGGUGUACGCCUUCCACUACAGCCACUCGGAUUGUGGCGCGUGCUCGCAUCUGCAAGCUCCGCGCACCGCUCACCUUGGCUCUCUCAUGGCGUCGCUAGGCUUUCCCUUCUUGCUCUUGCUCUCUCCGCCCCUGCGCGUCAUCACACCACCACCACCCCUUCCGCUCUCCCUCCGCUCAUUCGGCGUCGCAAAGUGCGGGUGCGGGUGCGGGCGCGGGGAGGUGCGUGCAGGGGACGAGACGAGGCGAGACGAAGGCCGGAGGAGGACAGCACAAAACAAUAAGAAAAGUGGCGCCCGCAUGGUCUUUGGUAGCAACCACAGCUGUGCCUGCACGGAAGACACUGCCUCCGCAAACAAGGAGCAUAUAUAUAUAUAUACAUGUGUGCGCGUGUGCUGCACACCGCGGAAAAAAAACGGGAGGCGGUGAGGUGCGGCGCCCCCUCAUCUUCGCAAAGGACACCGCCGCCGCAUGAGCGCGGGCGGAUGGGCUUUUCCUCUCCAUCCAUUCCUGGAGUCUGCGCCUGCACUUGAGCGAUAAGCCAUCCAGCUCAGCCGUGUCAGCCUCAUGUCUUUGCUCUCUCUCUCUCGACUGCUCAACUCUCGUCUCGCGACCGCACUCCGUGGUACUAUGGUCGUGUGUCACGCGUGCACCCGCCUAAUGGCUGCUGCUUACUCCGCAAUCUCUUUUUUUGUGUGCGCGUGCUUGCAUCGACUGGGACGGAUGUGCACCGUGCCGCCCACCUCAUCCUCACGGCAACACACACUCGUCUCUGUUGACGAAG